UAUUUAGCGCAGCCCGUUUGGCAUUUUGGGCCAAGCCCAUUUAAAACCCAGCCCAUUAGGCCCACUAAGAAACCCUAACCCUAGGGCUUCUUCUAUAAAUAGGGGUGUUCACUUGGUCAUUUUCCACUCCCACCCCUCCAUUUUUCCCUAGCCGCCACCAGCAGCUCUUCUCUGUUUCCUGGACGUGCGCAGGGAGCUGAGCUCCUUCUCCCAUGGCGCCUCCACACUUCCAGCCGCCCUCCUCUGCCCAGCAGCCGAGCGCCCAGCUCCUCCCCUCGGCAGCCAUGGCGUCCUCCCCUUCCUCCCGCCCUCUGCUGUCCACGGCGAGCUACAGCAGGGAGCCGAGCUCCAAGCUCCCACGGCGCUCGAGCUCCACUCCUCCCUGUUCGUCUUCAACCCAAGUCGGCGCCCUCUCGCUGGCUGUCCUCUCCGUCGCGCCCCUACUGGCCGUGCCCCUCACGCUGGCACACAGGCGCCCAGGCAAGCUUCCCCAUGGCGCUCGACUCCCUGUUCCAUGGUGCCCUGUGGUCGCCCCCUUCUUCCCCUUGUGGCUGCGCUCCUCUGCUCCCUCCAUGGCGCCCCCUGCUCCUUCCUCGACGCGCUGUAGGUGCUCGACAAAUGCGCAGCUCCAUUUCUCCCAUGGCCGUGGCCUGCUUUUCCCGGCGCCCUGCGCAGCAUCUCCCUCCCCCAAGUCCCUGCGCGCGCACAGCAGCAGCUCGCCCCACCUUCCCUCGCUGCGCAGCCCCUCGGCGAAACGCCGCUGUUCCUGCAGCCCCGACACCUUCCCUGGCUUCCUCACUGCUAGCGCUGCGCGCGUGCCACGUGUUCGGCGAUCUGUCCAAGUGGGGUGUUGAGCAGUGAGCAGCAAGCCGUCAACGCCCGCCGUGUGCUCGCUGUUUUGCGCAGCCCAUCCGCGACGCCGUCGAAAAACCGUGCUAGCCGUCAAUCGCCAUUCGUCGCGCACGCGCGUUCAAUACAAGACCGGUCGGGUGAACCACGUGCUUGCAUAACUCAAAUCCGAUCCCGCUCAGGUUGAUUGAUUUAUAGUUUACCAUACGUAUGAUUUGGUUGAUGUCAUGCAGUGCACGUAUAUGUAUGGAUAUGUGUAAAAUGUUUUGGUUAUACGCAUUAGUAGGUUCGCAUUUGCGGUUGGAGAACAAGAAGUUGUUUGCUGUGUGCGAUUUGUAGUUUGUCUAAAUACGUUUUGGUCGAUGUGGUGUGUAUUGGUGUUUGAAUAUAUGUGGCUGCGAUGAUUCGUUUAUGUGUCACGAGGAUGGUUCGUGGAUGGUAUUAGUCGUUUGUUAAAAUACUUUGUCAUAAAGUAGUGUGUUAGUUGUGGUAAAUUAAAUAAAGCGUAAAACAUACUUAGUAAUUUCCAUAGUUAGCUAAUGAGUUAGUCUAUGUUCAAUAUAUUUUAUGUAUUCAUCGUGGUGUAGGAUAGAGUGGGUCGAAGAUAUGAAUUAUGAGACAUGUGAUUUGUGUUUAAGAACGAGAGGUUCGAAUAAUCGGUUAGUGUUUCACUUGUCUAGUCGCUAAGUAUUGUCAUAAAUAAUUGUGCAAAAAUUGGUUAUAAGAAUGCAGUGGUCACGUGGUGUGGUUGGAUGCGAUAAGUAGACGAGAAGGGUGGGUUUGUCUGAGCACGAUGUUGUCGAACGUGUGUAUCGAAAUGUGAUGUAGUAGCGAUUGCGUUGAAUUAAACGGUAAUGUCUCGGGUGCACGCCGCAAUAUGGUUGCAUGCGAGACGGGGUAAAAGAAAGUGUGCUCGACAUAAAUGUUGGGUCGUUGUAGGUAGAAAUUGUCUUGGCUUAAAUAGAAAGGUGGUGACAUGCCAGAGUAGUCAUCGCUUUCCUAUAUUUAUAGGUCAAGUCAUGGCGAUGCGUAUUAUGCGUUCAUUAAAUUAUGUUUCGCAUAUAGCGUAUGAUUGUACUCACGAUUUCGAAUAGACACUUCAAAUAAGUCAAGUAGGUUCAUAAUGAAAGAUGUGUGAUGAAGUUAGUUGUUUUAGGAUAUUGUUGAAAUGCUCCAUUCAUGUGAUAGACAUGUGUGGAUAAUUUAAAUCGAGUCGAUGUGUGUGACGAUGAUAUUCAUGAAUUAAGUAGAUGUCCUAAAAUUGUGUAGUGAAGCUUAGGUUAAGUUGCAAGCGAUGUGGAAAUGUUUUGGUAAAGAUGUAUGUGAAUUGUGAACGAGUCAUUCGAUGUAUCAUGUCGUGUCGUGGUGGUAUGAAAAAUGGGUUAGGAAUCGAUCGGCUAAAUACCAAGUUCGGUUAGAGUUAUUUUGUUACUUGGGAUUGUGGGGUGAAGUGAUGGUGUGACUAUGUAGCCGUCACGUCAUCUAUUGUGCGACUAUGCUUAAGUGUGCCUUGCUAUAAGUUAGAAUAAAUCGAGUCCCUAGAACGCGACAAUUUUAGAAGUAAAUAGAAGCUGAAUUUUGAGGAUUGCUGUUUUGGACUGCAUGCGCUGUUUUAGUUGUGCUGUAUGUUGGGUGAACUGAAUUAUGUUUUCUGUAGAUAUGUGCUAUAGAAAAGUUGUAGAUAACAUGAUUAUCUUGCUUGUACAAAAAUUUGACAGCCAUAAGCCUGAUCGUUUAGGAGUUGUGUUUUUCGCAAGCCCAGCAUCUGAAUCUGUCGAAUUUCUGGACAGAUUUCAGAAAUUGCAAUGGUUGCUUAAGUUAAUGUUGAAAUAAGUUAUUGGUGGCCACAAGAAAGUUGUAGAUAACCUUAUUAUCUUGCUGGUGUUAAAAUUUGACAGCCAUAGGUCUGACAGUUUAGGAGUUACAUAUUUUGCAAAUUCAGUAACUGAAUCUGUCCAAAUUCUGUACAGAUUUCAGAAACUGUAUUGUUUGCUUAAGUUAAUGUUAGAAUCAGUCCUUGUAGAUUAUAAGAAAGUUGUAGAUGCUUUUCUGAUCUUGCUUGUGUUAAAAUUUCAUAACUAAAGGCCUGACGGUUUAAGAGUUAUGAAUUUUACAACUUGGUGGCUGUGUUCUGUCCACUGACAGAACAGAUUUCGAAAACUGAAUUGUUUGAUUCAGUUCAACAUAGAAUCAAUUCUUGGUGAUUAUAAAAGUUGUGUAGUACUUUUGCCAAGCUUUCCAAAAAGUCUUGGAUCACUCUUUUUGGUGGUCUGAAGCUUAAGUUAUGAAUAUUUCAAUUAGGAAGACUGAAUCUGUCCAGUUCUGGACAACAAGGUCUUUUAGUGAUGUUUACGCUUGGUUAGAUAUUGAAUCACCCUGUGAUGUUAAUAAACAAUUUGUAGAAAAUUUAAUUAGCUUUUCAGAAAGUCUAGGAUCACUUUGUUUGGAUGUCUGAAUUUUCAGUUGUGAAUUUUUGAAGUUGCUAGCCUGAAUCUGUCCAAAUCUGGACAGCGCUGUUGUAUUAGCACGUUUUGACCUUGCUAAGUGUUGAAUUAUGUUGUGAUGAAAAUACCAAAGUUGUAAAGCACUUUUUAAGCUUUCCAAAAAGUCCUAGUUUGCUAUUUUUGGAUUCAUAUUUUAAAAGUUAUGAUUAAAACAAGUGACUGCUGUAUUGCUGUCCAAAAAUCUGCAAGUGCCCAUUUGAUGAUUGAGUUCACCCGUUUGGCUAAAAAUGCUUAGUUAGCACGUAGCGGGCAUAGGCUCGUAAUGGCUAAACAUAGACUAACAUGUGUUCCAUGAUUAAGGUGCUUGCUUGCUGUAGUUGAUUGUGAUAGAUGAGUCCGUCGACUUGGAUGCAUCGGUCCUCUGUUAAACUUGUUUGUGAUGCUUUUGUGUGAUCAAUAGAACUAAUGCAAAGUCGUAGCAAUUAAAUAAAUGCGUGUACCUGUGAUAUCGUAUUUAGGUUGUGUAAAUAAAUAAAAUGUGGUCGUCUUGUUAAUGGUGUUAAUGAUAAACGCCGAUAACAUACGAAUAGCUAGCGCUUGCGUAUAGUCGUUACGGUGUCUUGCAAUUAAAUGUUAGUUUGCUACCAUGUAUUUAUAUAGCUUGUGAUAUUUUUCAUUGUAUUCAUACAUAUGCAUCUUGCAUCUCAUUUAGGACCGAGAGGUGAUGAUCGUGCAAGUGAUGUGGUGCCAGCCACAAGAUGCAGAUGGUGGACGACCUGAAGAAUGGACUUAACCAGUGGAUGCUCGCCAAGCGAGUACCUCCCCAGCAAACACUAUCUAAGUGUUAAAUUAAAGGCAAGCCCCGGUUUAUGCAUAACCGUUAUAUAUGCUAUUUUACUGCACUUAAUGUUUGUAGGCUUGUGCUGUGCACUUAAGUGUAGGAGUUGCCUGAAACCCUAGUUGCAUGAACUCAGGAUUCCUUUUUGAGAUGAAUACUAGUAUGUUAGGUCGAGUAGCUGCUUUACUAAUUAGGGAUCUCGGUAGAAGUCGAGUGAUUUUUCUAGCACUCGCGCGAGGUCAGGAAUUGGCUGUAUCCACUUUCUUAUCAUAUUAAUGUUGGUUUGUGGGCAACAAUCCAUGGGGAUUGGUUGUCUACGGGAUAAAAUGUGAAUAAGGAUUAAGGUGUGGUACCGUGAGUCAAGCGUUUGAACGUACUAAGCACAUGCCGAGAAAUAUGGUAAAUCGGUAAGCCUAGUACCUGAGUGAACCUGGCAGUGGACAUAUCCCCUCACGCGUCCUGAGACGAGGUCUCCCAUUCCGGUUAUGGUGGGUACAAGUGCGGUCACUGCACGACGGCCAGUCGGGGUCAGUGGGGCAUUGUACGCCAAGGCGGUGAGCCCUGAUCUGCUGACGGGGAAUCGAUGGGGACGGUUGAUGUGUGUGGGGACGGAGUGCCCCUGCAUGUCGUGUGUUUAGGUUUACCUUGCAAGGAUAAAAACUCGAUUCGAAUCGUCUGCUUCUCGCAGCUAAUGAGACUGCUUGAUCCAUGCUGCUACAUUGAGUAAUAAGUGGAAAUGAGGUGACUGACAAAAGAUGUUGAUUGAUAAAUUGUUUGAUACCAUGUAUGACUAGCUAGGUACACAUCUAGUAAAGAGGAUCAUACUAAAACUUGAAAAGCUAAAACAUGAUUUUAGACUCAGCUAGUGCUUUUGGCAACCAAGCCCCUCAGCCAAACAGCUGCAUGUCUAGAGGUAGAGGAGUAGACUCCUCACACCGGGUAAGUCUAGCUGAGUAUUAGUAUACUCAGCCUUGCUUGUGGCACAAUUUUUGCAGGUACUCCUUAGGAUGUUUGGUUGAUGGUGUGACUUGGCCUCCAUCCCUGCCACCGGGAUAGAUGGUCGAGUGGGUUACUGCUUCCGCAGGAGAGGACCAGGAGGAGUAGCGUGGCCAGGCUUCGCCAUGUUACUCGGUUCUUCUUCGUUAGUUAUUCCGCUGCAAUAAAAUUUAUGGUUAUUAUUUUUGAAACUCCGAUAAUGUAAUCAUUAUUGAUACUUAUUAAAUUUGUGGUAUUAUGCUUUAUUGUACUUCUCUGUGCCUCACCUUCGAGUGAGCUAGUGGUAUUCGAUCCUGGUAAGUGGCUUUAUCGGACUAGAUCCGAGGGACUGACGGGUUAUUCCUGUUUAAGUGUGUUGCUGCCCUUAAGGGUGCGACUUGGGCACUUAAGCUGGAAUAAUUCGGGCGGUUCCGCCACAGCUGGUAUCGGAGCGAAUACCAUUACAGAGAAGUCAAUAAGUCAUGAUUACCAACCUUUUCUAAAGUAAAACUUGCUUAGAAACCAAGUUGGAUAGCUGUCAGGACGAUAAGGAUAGACCUAGGACGUGAAGCCCUAGGAAUAGAUGGGUAGCUAGGUGGCUAGUUAUUUAGGCCAUAAGGGCUACUAUUACUAUUAAUAAGGAUGCUGUAGAAGCACCCAAAAAUUAGUUAGGUCUGAGAAGACGACUAGAAUGAGCAUGCAUCAUGAUUGUCGCAUCAUUGUCUCUUGUGCACCGACAUGCUUCUCUCACCUUUAUUCCAAUAAUAAGAAAUUGUGAAUAAUGUAAUGUACUGAUAUGUUAGGAACUAUAAGAAAUGCCUUCCUCGUGUCAGAUUGGUAAGUCUUGUUAGGUCGUGCUAUGUGUUUCUCUUGUCUUGCUAGCUAGGUGGUAUUAUAAUUGUUCAACCCUCUUUGCCAAUAAAAAAAAAAUUUGUUGCCUGUUUUGCCCAUAAAAAGACCUCCUUCUCCAAACAACCUAGUGGUUCCCUUGUAAAACCUUAAAAAAUAUUAUCAUGUGCUUGUUUUUGUGUUUUUAGCCCUUGUGUGUUUUACACUUGAAUUUUACACCUGCACAGCUUGUAAACCUCCAUAGCUUGAUCGCUAGACCAACCCAAGUCUCCUUGUGCACUUGUGGUGUCAAAAAAAAAUUGUUGUUGGUGUCUAGUUGCGCAAACCCUAUCAAGGCCAUGUUCUUUUCAUAAAUCCUUGCCCCUAAAACUUCAUAGCAUUCCUGUUGAUCAUCCAGUUGAUCCUGUUGUCUACCCCUCCUUUCGCAUGGAUCUGGUGAUCUCUUUCCUUGUGAAUCAUGUUGCGACUUUCUCAUCUGAAUCUCUGGAUCCUUUAAUGAUUCUGCCCUGUUAUCUUGUUAUCUUCUAUAACCCGUUCUCAAGUAUCGGAUGUUGAUUUGCCUAAAUCUCUCAAUUCUGGUCAUUCUCAUACCCCUUCUCUAGGAUCAUGACGCUUGUUUUAUCAACUUAUCUCUAAAUGGCAUAUCCAUUUGGUUCAAUGGAUUUGAUUGUUGUCCUUGGUUCUCUCAUGUCUCUAAAAGCUCAACAAUCUAUUUUGAUCUCAUGGUCGGUUCAUCCUCAUAUCAAAUCUCGUGCUAAUAUCUGAUCUGAUAAUCUCCAUGUUGAUCAUCAAAUGGUUCUCUGGGUUAAAGAAAAUUCUCAUGUGAUGCUCUUCUGUCAGCAAUCUCUGCUUCAACUCCGGUCACAUUCUUAUUUUCUGAGCCAUACUCUCAUGGGCUCCAUCUAUCUGUGCUAUGUGGAUUUCUCAUUGGUUGCGUUUGGUAAUGGUAUUAUGGCUAACAACUGAUGGUGCCGCGACGAGACCGAGAGCCUACUAUGGUGCACACAUGGUUGAGCUACUCGGCACGCGCUGGUAUCGCGGUUAAUAGUCGUGGUCCAUUAAGAGACUAUACUGAUGUGCUAUCUUUUGUGGGCACUCUCAGAAUGAUCGCUGCAUUUUGUCUCGAUAUGUCGCGAUAUUCUAAUCAUAUCUGUCUUCAGUAUCUUGCCAGAUACCCUUUCAUGAAUUUGCAUCUAUCUUCAGCCUGGGAGUUACAUGCUUCUCCACCCUUAAAUAUCCUCAUUCGAAUCUCGGGACGAGAUUCUUUUUAAGGGGGGAAGGCUGUGACACCCCAGGUGUCAGUUUCGUGUUAUGUCGGGAGAUUAAUCCUAAUCUCAGAUGCUCAGUAAAAAUUUCUAUUUCUCGAUCGUGCCUAUCUCUGUUUAUCAGGCUUUCUCUUGGAAGUUCACCGAAUUCAGAGUUAAUCGAUCGCGAGAAACAGCCAAUUUUGGAGCGUGUUAAAACUUUUAAUUCUCGGAACUAAUGCAGACUCGAAGAUCAUUCUCGAAUUUUAGAUCUCAUCUGAAGCCCUUUAAAUCAAACUCUCGGCGACUAUUAUCUGAUCUGAGCUCGAAUCCAAUUCCUCGAACUUCGAUCGAUGUUCGACUAUUUUAAUCCGAAUCCGUAUCUCAAAAGAAAUACUCAGUAUGUCAUCCUCUAAUUAAUUUCUAUCCGAUUCGGCUUAAUAUCUCUGUAUCCAAUUCGAUUUCAAAAUCAGCAUCGACAGCAAUUUUAAAAUGCCACGAUUCACCUUCUCCGACUAAAAAUCCAAAGCCGAUCAAAUCUCAGGACGAUUUAUUUUCAAAUCACGCGUAGGGAAUUAUUUUCGAGCGGAAUCUAAUUAGACUCUCGGCCGAAUUAAUUGCUCAAUCGUCAGUUCACCGAAAUCUCUUUCGCUCUGUUCUGUGUACAGACAAAUUCCGCGGGAACAUUUUAUUCCGGAAAAUAUUUAGCGCAGCCCGUUUGGCAUUUUGGGCCAAGCCCAUUUAAAACCCAGCCCAUUAGGCCCACUAAGAAACCCUAACCCUAGGGCUUCUUCUAUAAAUAGGGGUGUUCACUUGGUCAUUUUCCACUCCCACCCCUCCAUUUUUCCCUAGCCGCCACCAGCAGCUCUUCUCUGUUUCCUGGACGUGCGCAGGGAGCUGAGCUCCUUCUCCCAUGGCGCCUCCACACUUCCAGCCGCCCUCCUCUGCCCAGCAGCCGAGCGCCCAGCUCCUCCCCUCGGCAGCCAUGGCGUCCUCCCCUUCCUCCCGCCCUCUGCUGUCCACGGCGAGCUACAGCAGGGAGCCGAGCUCCAAGCUCCCACGGCGCUCGAGCUCCACUCCUCCCUGUUCGUCUUCAACCCAAGUCGGCGCCCUCUCGCUGGCUGUCCUCUCCGUCGCGCCCCUACUGGCCGUGCCCCUCACGCUGGCACACAGGCGCCCAGGCAAGCUUCCCCAUGGCGCUCGACUCCCUGUUCCAUGGUGCCCUGUGGUCGCCCCCUUCUUCCCCUUGUGGCUGCGCUCCUCUGCUCCCUCCAUGGCGCCCCCUGCUCCUUCCUCGACGCGCUGUAGGUGCUCGACAAAUGCGCAGCUCCAUUUCUCCCAUGGCCGUGGCCUGCUUUUCCCGGCGCCCUGCGCAGCAUCUCCCUCCCCCAAGUCCCUGCGCGCGCACAGCAGCAGCUCGCCCCACCUUCCCUCGCUGCGCAGCCCCUCGGCGAAACGCCGCUGUUCCUGCAGCCCCGACACCUUCCCUGGCUUCCUCACUGCUAGCGCUGCGCGCGUGCCACAUGUUCGGCGAUCUGUCCAAGUGGGGUGUUGAGCAGUGAGCAGCAAGCCGUCAACGCCCGCCGUGUGCUCGCUGUUUUGCGCAGCCCAUCCGCGACGCCGUCGAAAAACCGUGCUAGCCGUCAAUCGCCAUUCGUCGCGCACGCGCGUUCAAUACAAGACCGGUCGGGUGAACCACGUGCUUGCAUAACUCAAAUCCGAUCCCGCUCAGGUUGAUUGAUUUAUAGUUUACCAUACGUAUGAUUUGGUUGAUGUCAUGCAGUGCACGUAUAUGUAUGGAUAUGUGUAAAAUGUUUUGGUUAUACGCAUUAGUAGGUUCGCAUUUGCGGUUGGAGAACAAGAAGUUGUUUGCUGUGUGCGAUUUGUAGUUUGUCUAAAUACGUUUUGGUCGAUGUGGUGUGUAUUGGUGUUUGAAUAUAUGUGGCUGCGAUGAUUCGUUUAUGUGUCACGAGGAUGGUUCGUGGAUGGUAUUAGUCGUUUGUUAAAAUACUUUGUCAUAAAGUAGUGUGUUAGUUGUGGUAAAUUAAAUAAAGCGUAAAACAUACUUAGUAAUUUCCAUAGUUAGCUAAUGAGUUAGUCUAUGUUCAAUAUAUUUUAUGUAUUCAUCGUGGUGUAGGAUAGAGUGGGUCGAAGAUAUGAAUUAUGAGACAUGUGAUUUGUGUUUAAGAACGAGAGGUUCGAAUAAUCGGUUAGUGUUUCACUUGUCUAGUCGCUAAGUAUUGUCAUAAAUAAUUGUGCAAAAAUUGGUUAUAAGAAUGCAGUGGUCACGUGGUGUGGUUGGAUGCGAUAAGUAGACGAGAAGGGUGGGUUUGUCUGAGCACGAUGUUGUCGAACGUGUGUAUCGAAAUGUGAUGUAGUAGCGAUUGCGUUGAAUUAAACGGUAAUGUCUCGGGUGCACGCCGCAAUAUGGUUGCAUGCGAGACGGGGUAAAAGAAAGUGUGCUCGACAUAAAUGUUGGGUCGUUGUAGGUAGAAAUUGUCUUGGCUUAAAUAGAAAGGUGGUGACAUGCCAGAGUAGUCAUCGCUUUCCUAUAUUUAUAGGUCAAGUCAUGGCGAUGCGUAUUAUGCGUUCAUUAAAUUAUGUUUCGCAUAUAGCGUAUGAUUGUACUCACGAUUUCGAAUAGACACUUCAAAUAAGUCAAGUAGGUUCAUAAUGAAAGAUGUGUGAUGAAGUUAGUUGUUUUAGGAUAUUGUUGAAAUGCUCCAUUCAUGUGAUAGACAUGUGUGGAUAAUUUAAAUCGAGUCGAUGUGUGUGACGAUGAUAUUCAUGAAUUAAGUAGAUGUCCUAAAAUUGUGUAGUGAAGCUUAGGUUAAGUUGCAAGCGAUGUGGAAAUGUUUUGGUAAAGAUGUAUGUGAAUUGUGAACGAGUCAUUCGAUGUAUCAUGUCGUGUCGUGGUGGUAUGAAAAAUGGGUUAGGAAUCGAUCGGCUAAAUACCAAGUUCGGUUAGAGUUAUUUUGUUACUUGGGAUUGUGGGGUGAAGUGAUGGUGUGACUAUGUAGCCGUCACGUCAUCUAUUGUGCGACUAUGCUUAAGUGUGCCUUGCUAUAAGUUAGAAUAAAUCGAGUCCCUAGAACGCGACAAUUUUAGAAGUAAAUAGAAGCUGAAUUUUGAGGAUUGCUGUUUUGGACUGCAUGCGCUGUUUUAGUUGUGCUGUAUGUUGGGUGAACUGAAUUAUGUUUUCUGUAGAUAUGUGCUAUAGAAAAGUUGUAGAUAACAUGAUUAUCUUGCUUGUACAAAAAUUUGACAGCCAUAAGCCUGAUCGUUUAGGAGUUGUGUUUUUCGCAAGCCCAGCAUCUGAAUCUGUCGAAUUUCUGGACAGAUUUCAGAAAUUGCAAUGGUUGCUUAAGUUAAUGUUGAAAUAAGUUAUUGGUGGCCACAAGAAAGUUGUAGAUAACCUUAUUAUCUUGCUGGUGUUAAAAUUUGACAGCCAUAGGUCUGACAGUUUAGGAGUUACAUAUUUUGCAAAUUCAGUAACUGAAUCUGUCCAAAUUCUGUACAGAUUUCAGAAACUGUAUUGUUUGCUUAAGUUAAUGUUAGAAUCAGUCCUUGUAGAUUAUAAGAAAGUUGUAGAUGCUUUUCUGAUCUUGCUUGUGUUAAAAUUUCAUAACUAAAGGCCUGACGGUUUAAGAGUUAUGAAUUUUACAACUUGGUGGCUGUGUUCUGUCCACUGACAGAACAGAUUUCGAAAACUGAAUUGUUUGAUUCAGUUCAACAUAGAAUCAAUUCUUGGUGAUUAUAAAAGUUGUGUAGUACUUUUGCCAAGCUUUCCAAAAAGUCUUGGAUCACUCUUUUUGGUGGUCUGAAGCUUAAGUUAUGAAUAUUUCAAUUAGGAAGACUGAAUCUGUCCAGUUCUGGACAACAAGGUCUUUUAGUGAUGUUUACGCUUGGUUAGAUAUUGAAUCACCCUGUGAUGUUUAUAAACAAUUUGUAGAAAAUUUAAUUAGCUUUUCAGAAAGUCUAGGAUCACUUUGUUUGGAUGUCUGAAUUUUCAGUUGUGAAUUUUUGAAGUUGCUAGCCUGAAUCUGUCCAAAUCUGGACAGCGCUGUUGUAUUAGCACGUUUUGACCUUGCUAAGUGUUGAAUUAUGUUGUGAUGAAAAUACCAAAGUUGUAAAGCACUUUUUAAGCUUUCCAAAAAGUCCUAGUUUGCUAUUUUUGGAUUCAUAUUUUAAAAGUUAUGAUUAAAACAAGUGACUGCUGUAUUGCUGUCCAAAAAUCUGCAAGUGCCCAUUUGAUGAUUGAGUUCACCCGUUUGGCUAAAAAUGCUUAGUUAGCACGUAGCGGGCAUAGGCUCGUAAUGGCUAAA